CGGCGAGUGAAGCGGCAAGAGCUCAAAUUUGAAAGCUGGCCCCCUCGGGGUCCGCAUUGUAAUUUGCAGAGGAUGCUUCGGGAACGGCCCCCAUCUAAGUGCCCUGGAACGGGCCGUCAUAGAGGGUGAGAAUCCCGUCUGGGAUGGGGUGGCCGCGCCCGUGUGAAGCUCCUUCGACGAGUCGAGUUGUUUGGGAAUGCAGCUCUAAUUGGGUGGUAAAUUUCAUCUAAAGCUAAAUAUUGGCCGGAGACCGAUAGCGCACAAGUAGAGUGAUCGAAAGAUGAAAAGCACUUUGAAAAGAGAGUUAAACAGCACGUGAAAUUGUUGAAAGGGAAGCGCUUGCGACCAGACUCGCCCGCGGGGUUCAGCCGGCACUCGUGCCGGUGUACUUCCCCGCGGGCGGGCCAGCGUCGGUUUGGGCGGCCGGUCAAAGGCCUCUGGAAGGUAACGCCUCUCGGGGCGUCUUAUAGCCAGGGGUGCCAUGCGGCCUGCCCGGACCGAGGAACGCGCUUCGGCUCGGACGCUGGCAUAAUGGUCGUAAGCGACCCGUCUUGAAACACGGACCAAGGAGUCUAACAUCUACG
rnacentral:rRNA from 1 species